UAUGCGCACGGCGUCUUCAGAUGAUAGCAGAUCCGUGUCGCUACAGUUCACACACAUACACAGACACACAGGUCCUGCAGACGAGCUGCACUCUUCAUCUAUGCUGAUCUCUUCAUUUAUGCUGAUCUCCUGAUCGCAAACCCUAUACGUUUGUUACGUACCGACUGCUUCGCGCGGAAACCGGGAGUUACCUUUUACCAGGAAAGGAAAACACAAGGGCGAAGCGUUUACACUUGGCGAAGGUGUUCUUCAUCCCCAGCAGUUCAUAUUACGGACACCAGCGCGAAAGAGCAGCACAUUCGGUCCAUACGGCUGCAUGUGAACACAACGGAGCUGCUGAGGUUUAAAUCAUAAGGAGAUGGGACUUGGGCUUCUGCCCACAGGAAGAACGAUUCCAACUCUGCCCCUAUAGCUGUGACCGGUUUGCCGUGAGGCCCCGUACCCCCUUCUAAUGAUUUCUCUUUAGCCCAGUCCAGAGCAGUGCAGUCAUGUUCAGGAACAGUCUGAAGAUGCUGCUUGGCG